CAGUAGCCGCGGGAAUACGAAGGGUGCAAGCGUUAAUCGGAAUUACUGGGCGUAAAGCGUGCGUAGGCGGUGAGUUAAGUCUGCUGUGAAAUCCCCGGGCUCGACCUGGGAAUGGCAGUGGAUACUGGCUCGCUAGAGUGUGUCAGAGGAUGGUGGAAUUCCCGGUGUAGCGGUGAAAUGCGUAGAGAUCGGGAGGAACAUCAGUGGCGAAGGCGGCCAUCUGGGACAACACUGACGCUGAGGCACGGAAGCGUGGGGAGCAAACAGGAUUAGAUACCCGCGUAGUCCCUGUCUCUUAUAC
rnacentral:rRNA from 1 species